GAGUUCAUGUGUUAAAUAAUUGUUUUGAGUUCAAUUGACUCAAUGGGGGAAUACAGUGUACAGUACUUGUAUACUACUGCAGCAAUUAUGAAAUGUAAUCAAACAAUUUACUGUGGGAAUGCAAUGAGUACAAGACAUCCAAGCUUACCAGAGACUGACUUGUAGUAGGGAUUACUUUCCUUGAGGUGCCAGACAGUUUUGCCCUUUUACGUGGAUGCUUUUUUGGGGGGCUGGACAGAACAGACCUUCCUGAUGGUCGCUUUAUGGGGGUGCUCCUCUGCGAUGAACAUUCUGAAGAACUAUAUUUAUCCAGGGACUGUGAAACAUUUUCUUCCUCUGAUGUGGUUUCAAGAAUAGUUGGUUUCUUGUUCUGAAAAUUUAUAUUCAAUAUUUAAUUUAAUAAAUGAUUUAGUUUUCCAAUUCAGGCUUAAAACGUGCACGUCUCAGAUAAUUGUUAGAAGUGGGCCCCAUGUUAAAAUAACUACAUCUAGCAAUAAAGAUGGGUACGACCUCUAACCACAAAUUGUAUUCACAACUCACAACACUGAUUGAAACAUAACAAGAAAUCUGCACAAAAUACUUCAUAUUUACAUUUCGUCAUUUAGCAGACUUCAUAUGGGCACACAUAAUCUUUUUGGGCUUUGCAUUCGAGAGUAUUUCAAUUGAGUUGAAGUGUAGCAAAGCCCCUGUUUGUUUACAAUGUUACCGAAUGUUCAAAUGGGAGUCAAAUCUAUCAUAGAUACAUUUUGGUGACAUUAUAGUGGUGGUUGCUAGGUUGUUGCCAGGGUAAUUAAGACAGUCGCUAGGGUAUAUUAGGUGGUUGCUAUGCCACAUAAAGCGACAAGGUAAAGGAUCAUGGGAAUCUAGGUAACUCAAAAGUAUUGAGUUUCUCAAUA
ensembl:lncRNA